AAUUUGAGAAAACGUUCUGUCCGGAGCUGGCAGAAAAGGGGCUAUUUACGCCACCAAUCAGGAGCUGCCACGUCAUAUAUACAAUGAGACCUCAGUACACUCUAUCACACAGGAUUGAAGCUCAAAUAAAACCAAAAAUCAGCAAACAGAACAGAACGUGUUCAGAAGCCUUCUCCUCUGACCAACGCCUCCUCUCCUCUGCCCAAACAGAGCUGCCACCGCCUCCUCUCCUCUGACCAACGGAGCUCCUCCUCGCCGCUGGAGCCGCGGCGGCGUCGUUCUGAGCCGUCGCCCACGCACCCAAAUACUGCGGAAAGUUGGAGCAGUUAUUGGUGUUGCUGGAAAGGACUGAUGAUAGGACGCAUAAUAAGCAUUGUCAUUGAUUAUGAACAAUAUACUUCUUCCCUUGUAAUCAAAUCUGUUAGGAUGGACCAUGAUAAAUUUAGUGUGAUGUAGUUUGUAUUUUUCUUCUGUUUAUUGUCAAAUGCAUGCUAAUUAUGUAAUCACAUGAAAGAGUUGUAUAAUAAUAUAAUCUAUCUUGGAUAGAUAUUUGCUACCCUU